UAAUUAGUUAUUUGAUCUAAUUUCAACUGAAUUUUUCAAUUUUAUACCAUUUGAAAUGGUUUUUAAUAUUCAACCAAAAGGGAAUUUAUUUUGCAUUUGACAUUCGAUUUCUAAAAUUAGUACGACUUGUUCAAAGAACCGUCAAAUUUAGAAAAAAAGCGUAUAGCGAAAUCGUGUAUAUCGAGUAUGGCGUAUAUCGGGGAAUACCUGUAUAGCCACACGAGGAAGGCGCUGCUUCGCGUUCACAUGAAAAUGUGGUAGUGUGAAAUCAAGUUUGCAAGCGGUAGGACGCGUCGGUGUGUGUCCGUUUUUUCUCUCGUGAAACCAGUACGGAAAAACUAUUUGAAAUCGUAACACACGCACGAACGGAAGUGAGCACGGACCACAACAGAAGCAAUAUUCAAUUGGUUGGUAAGUAUUGUGCUUGACGUUAAAUUGAACAGCUGUUGGCAAAAUAGUUAAUAUUUCCUUCUAUCCCUAGGAGUGCCGAAAACAGAACAGGAGAGGAAAGAAGGCAGGAACGAUCCGAUCCUCCAACGUGCUAGCGCCUGGUAGAGGAGAAGCGGCAGGAAGGUAGAGACGAACAUCCAGCUCGCUAGUGCAGCACGUGGGAGCAGCAAGAGGG